rnacentral:tRNA from 1 species
AGUUCCAUGGUGUAAUGGUUAGCACUCUGGACUCUGAAUCCAGCAAUCCAAGUUCAAAUCUUGGUGGAACCU